UACUUGUGGUGUUAACUAGGGUUGGAAAAAAUUCUUAAAUCGUUCAUCUAAAUUGUAGACUAGAUAGAUGUGUGAGCACUCUCACGAGGUGUUUGAUUUUGUGCUUCUUAUAUUCUAAAUGCUUAACUCAUAAGAAAUUAAUACUUAAUUUGAUUAAUUGUUUUCACUUCAUAAUGAAAUUUUCUUCAAUCACCAUCAACUCUUGACUAUGAAAGUUGAAUGAAUUAACCUAAUAUACAUGCGUUACAUAUGAUUUUUCUUGAUUAAUACGUUUACCUUGACUUAUAUUAGAUGCAUCAUUCAUAAUGAAUCAAUAUAUACUAUGCAAGCUCUAAUAAUAUUAACUAGGGAACAUCACUUUGUUUGUUAACUUACUCACAAAUUAUUCUUUUUUC
rnacentral:lncRNA from 1 species